UAAAGUCUUUAAGCCUUAUCAAUUAAUGUUAAUUACCAACGAUUGAAAAAUGCAGACCACCAAGGCACUGCUCAUUUCUCCAGUUCUGAUCCGCUCCUGUACCAGGGGUCUAAUCAGGCCUGUGUCUGCCUCCCUCCUGAGUAGACCAGAGGCUCCAUCUAAAAAGCCUUCCUGCUGCAGCUCCCCUCUCCAGGUGGCCAGACGGGAAUUCCAGACCAGUGUUAUUUCCCGGGACAUUGACACAGCAGCCAAGUUUAUUGGUGCUGGGGCCGCCACAGUUGGUGUGGCUGGAUCAGGGGCUGGCAUUGGCACAGUGUUUGGUAGCUUGAUUAUUGGCUAUGCCAGGAACCCGUCUCUCAAGCAGCAGCUCUUCUCCUAUGCCAU
rnacentral:lncRNA from 1 species